ensembl:misc_RNA 7SK 7SK RNA
GGAUGUGAGGGUGAUCUGGCUGCGACAUCUGUCACCCCAUUGAUCGCCAGGGUUGAUUUGGCUGAUCUGGCUGGCUAGGCGGGUGUCCCCUUCCUCCCUCACUGCUCCAUGUGUGUCCCUCCCGAAGCUGUGCACUCAGUCGAAGAGGAUGGCCUUCCCCGAAUAGAGAUGGACCGGUCUUCGGUCGAGGGUAUACGAGUAGCUACGCUCCCCUGCUAGAACCUCCAAACAGGCUCUCAGAAAGUGUGAAAUGUUGAGGAGUAAAGAUAGCGUCUCAUAUCCUCCCUCUUCCUGGUGUGUAUCUGCACAUGUGUGAA